ACAUUGUCUCAAAUGAAAACAAAUAAGAUGGAAAAAUACCUCAGUGCCUCUUGCCUCUCUCGCUCUUCUUCAGCAUCUCUGUGCCUCUUCUCAUGUUCUUCUGAAUCGCUCCUUUGUUCCUCUUCGUCUUCUGAGGAAUCCCCACUGCGUUUGUGUUGCUUUUUGUGAUGGUACCUGUGGUUUGGUUUCCAGAUCCUCUUCUCUCUGUCUCCCCCUUCCUCCUUGCUUUUUGCCUGAUCAUCAUUUAGAUCCCAGGAUUCUUGACUGCGUUCUUCAUCUUCUUCAUCUCGUUUGUAGUUUUUGCCUGAGCUGUACCGAUAGGUAGGUCUAUAUCUCUUUUGCUUCUCAUCGCCUGUGCCCCAUGACUCUUGACUGCGUUCUUCUUCUUGUUCUUUCUCUUCCUCUAAACCUCCUUCAUCUCGUUUGUUGUGUUUUCCUGGACUGUACCGAUAUGUUGGCCUAUAUCUUUUCUCCCUUUCAUUGCCCAGGCUCCAGGACUCUUGGCUACGUUCCUCUUCUGGUUCUUCUCGCUCUUCCUCCAAACCCUCUUCAUCUCGUUUGUGGGGUUUUCCAGGGCUGUAGCGAUAUGUUGGCCUAUACCUUUUCUGCUUAACAUCACCUGUGCUCCAUGACUCUUGGCUGCGUUCUUCUUCUGGUUCUUUCUCUUCCUCCAUUCCCUCCUCAUCUCGUUUGUGUUGUUUACCUGGGCUGUAUCGAUAUGUUGGCCUAUAUCUUUUGUCCCUUUCAUUUCCCAGGCUCCAGGACUCUUGGCUGCGUUCCUCUUCUGGUUCUUUCUCUUCCUCCAUUCCCUCCUCAUCUCGUUUGUGGUGUUUACCUGGGCUGUAUCGAUAUGUUGGCCUAUAUCUUUUGUCCCUUUCAUUUCCCAGGCUCCAGGACUCUUGACUGCGUUCCUCUUCUGGUUCUUCUCUCUCAUCCUCCAAACCUUCAUCUCGUUUGUGGUGUUUACCUGGGCUGUAUCGAUAUGUUGGCCUAUAUCUUUUCUCCCUCUCAUUGCCCAGGCUCCAGGACUCUUGACUGCGUUCCGCUUCUGGAUCUUCUCUCUCAUCCUCCAAACCUUCAUCUCGUUUGUGGUUUUUACCUGGGCUGUAUCGAUAUGUUGGCCUAUAUCUUUUCUCUCUUUCAUUUCCCAGGCUCCAGGACUCUUGACUGCGUUCCUCUUCUGGUUCUUCUCUCUCUUCCUCCAAACCCUCUUCAUCUCGUUUGUGUUGUUUUCCUGGGCUGUAUCGAUAUGUUGGCCUAUAUCUUUUCUCCCUUUCAUUUCCCAGGCUCCAGGACUCUUGACUGCGUUCCUCUUCUGGUUCUUCUCUCUCUUCCUCCAAACCCUCUUCAUCUCGUUUGUGUUGUUUUCCUGGGCUGUAUCGAUAUGUUGGCCUAUAUCUUUUUUCCUUUUCGUCCCCCAGUCUCCAUGAUUCCUGACUGCGUUCCUCAUCUGGAUUUUCUCUCACUUCCUCAGAAACCUCAUCACGUUUAUGUUUGAGUUUCUUAUGAUGAUACCUGUGGCUUGGUUUCCAAAUUCUUUUGUCCCUCUCAUCAUUAAAGUCCCAUGACUCUUGGCUGCGCUCUUCAUUCUCCGGUGUCUCUUUCUUCUGAUCUACAGACUUCAGGAGUGCUUCUAUGUCUUUCACAUCGGCCUCUGGAACCUCAGGUUUGUGACCUUUGCCCUCCUCAUUACGGAUCAGCACCUCCUCACCACUCUUCUUCUCCACAGGGGCAGCAUUUUGGGCACCUAUAGAGAAGGAGUGAAGAAAAGGGACAUUCAGUAUUCACUGUGUCUACUAUGUCUGUUGUGGUCCAAUUCAAGAUAGAUCCCAAUGAAUUAACACUUUACAGAGAGAGAGACGAUUUUUACCAGGCUUUGUUUCAGUAUUAACACCUGAUGGAACUAAUCAGCCACUCAUAGCCACUUGAUUAGUUCUUGUGUCACAUACUCGCAUACUUAAAUUCUGCAAUGUUUUUUUGUAUAUAUACAAAGGCAAUGUAUCUCUGAUUGGUUGCCAGGUUGCAGCUCUAUGUUUCUGGUCUCUGUGGUAGCAGAAGCCACACCGAUUCACUUUGGAAACAGUUUUACCUGAAUGUGUCCUCCAGCAGAACCAUGUUUGCACAUUUAUAUUCAUCGUCUCUACUUCCACACUAUGGCUGGGUCUCUAUAAUAAAGUGGCUUGCUCUGCUUGUCUAGUUUCCUUCAUUUACACUGAUUAUAGAACAAGACAGGCAAAAGCGAUUUCUUAGAAUCACGCAUCACAGCAGACAAACAAGGUUCAUUAACCCCAGUCUUGUAAAUGACACUGACAUGAUAUCACUAUCACAGCUGAGGAAGCCAGGCUUUGAUGUAAUAAAAUUACUAUUGUAUUCAUCUCUAAAAUAAAG
ensembl:lncRNA